rnacentral:rRNA from 1 species
UACGAAGGGGGCGAGCGUUGUUCGGAAUUACUGGGCGUAAAGGGCGCGCAGGCGGCUCUGAAAGUCAGAUGUGAAAGCCCCGGGCUUAACCUGGGAAUUGCAUUUGAUACUCUGGAGCUUGAGUGUGGGAGAGGAGAGUGGAAUUCCCAGUGUAGAGGUGAAAUUCGUAGAUAUCGUCUGGAACGCCGAAGGUGAAAACAGCUCGCUGGGGCUGCGCUGACGCUGAGACACGAAAGCCAGGGGAGCGAACGGG